CGCACAUUGCGCCCAUUAGUAUUCUAGUGGGCAUGCCUGUUCGAGCGUCAUUUCAACCCUUAAGCCCUGUUGCUUAGCGUUGGGAGCCUACAGAUACCCUCUGUAGUUCCUUAAAGUUAGUGGCGGAGUCGGUUUCACACUCUAGACGUAGUAAAUUUUAUCUCGCCUAUAGAUGAGCCGGUCCCUUGCCGUAAAAACCCCUAAUUUCUAAAGGUUGACCUCGGAUCAGGUAGGAAUACCCGCUGAACUUAA
rnacentral:misc_RNA from 1 species